rnacentral:lncRNA from 1 species
CUUUCCUGCCAUGUCCCACACAGCUGCCUGCGGCGGGGUAAAUAGUCUGUUCUCAAAGCCUUUUAACUGCUCAAUAUUCACCUGUGGAUCCUCAUGUCUCUCUGUCUCUUUGUGUCAGGCAGGAGGCGGGGUGUGGUGGAGAUGCUGUUGCGGUCUGAACGCGAUUAUGUGUCUAGUUUGAAUCAGCUCUAUGAGAAAUACAAAUCUGCUGAGCAAAAUGUGGCAUUUGUAAAGCAUAUUGAUCAGAUGCUACAGCGCCACCUGCUCUUCCGCAACACCCUAGAAGAACAACUGACCAUGGAUGAGAGAAGCUGUGCUGCAGGGGAUGCUUUCCUCAACCUCACUGGACAGAACAAUAAGUCUUUCUCUGAUGCAUAUCUUGGAUACGUGGCCAGUCUGGGAACUCUCCUGAGAACAGAGAUCAGUACAACUUCACCCCACAGCAAUUCACAAAAUGCACAGGAGGAGAAAGAGAGCUUCAGAUUGCUUUCACUACUAUUCGCUCCUGUUUCCCGCAUCCACACAUACCUAAACAUCAUACAGGCCUUGUUACGCAGUACUGGUGCUGGACAUGCAGACUGGUGUUCACUACAGGAGAGCGAGCGGGUGCUGUGGGACCUCCGCACAAGCUGUCACAUGACCUUGGCGAAGGCGGGGCCAUGCGAAGAGGGGGUGGGGCCUGAACAAGGUUUGAGAAGCAGGUGCUGUGCCGAGAGCCCCGACUGUGGCCCUUCCGCUUUUACCAAGUACUGUGCCAACAUUAAUGCGGAUACAGCCAGCGUCACAGCAGGCGCAGGCAUAGACAGCACUGUACACCAGAGGAAAUGCUGUCGUGUUGGCAUCUCACGGACGCUAUCUCGGCCCAGUGGCAUUUUAAGAAACGGCCGUGAGCAUAUGUGUGAUCUGCCCCCUGGUGGCUGGACUGCAGAGUACAUGUGGAAUGGCAGCGCAGGGCAGAGCCACACGGGUCCCAUCUGCGUACCCUUUCCUCGUCAUCCUAGAGAAGCCGGCUGCUUUCGGAACCCUGUGCCACCUGUAGGUGUCGGGGGAAACCUCACUACUGCUGCCAAGAGUCAGAGCUCCUCGGCUGGUCUGGCCGUGCGUGUGUGUGUUUCCCCGGGGCUCGAUGGACGUGUAUACACCUCUGAACUGUACCCUCCGCCGCAUCGUCUCGAUGACGACUGCGACGUGGCCGAUGCAUCCAUUUUUGACUUCUCUUCUGUAACGACCUCUAGCCCAGAUGAAACUCUGAAUCGGCUCAGGGGAGCGGAAGCACGUGAUGAUGAUGAGGAUGAUGAUGAAGAGGACAGCGAGGUUCCAGUUCUCCUCAAACCUUCAUACACUCACAACGCUUCAGCCGUGCAGGCAGGGGGAGGAUUAUGCAUGGCGUGGCAGAUUCCCAAACGGGCUCCUAUUCCUGCNNNNNNNNNNCCUGCUGAGGUUCACAUUGGGGGGCAAGGAAAAACACGUGCCCCAAAACCACACAGAAUCCCCACCAGUGCCUUCCGGCCGAUUUGGGACCCGACUUACUCACAGGGUGAUGCAACUCCUGCAAAAGAGAACUCUGUGUCUUUCAGCUCAACCAAUCAGAUCAUUAAUCAGCAGCAAGAGACUGACCAAUCACGAUCUGCAUAUAGAGGGACUGGAGUCCAGCGGGCUGAAGCAGUGUGGCAUGACAGCGAGGACAGCGAAGGACCCUGCAGUACAGUCUGACACAAACUGGUGCAACUAAUCAUACACAGGAAACGUUUCUACUUCAUCCAAUGAAAUAACUGGAAUCUUUUUUUAAAAUCUGAGAUUACAAAUGACAACUUGUUCUCACUGUGAACUAGUGGUGCAAUGGAUCACAAAACUCACGGUUCGGAUCAUUUUUCGGAUCAGCAAAAAAAUAAAAAUAAAUAAAAAACAAAAUUAGUGAAAGCUUUAAGUACUUCUAUACCAC